UUCUUUUAAGGAGAAAGAUUAACUUUUUUCGCUCCUGAUAAUUUUUAAUUUAAUUGACUUUACCUGUGAAUUUAAAAUUAAAUUUUGUGUUAUUAUUGUUCAUCUCAUCACAAGGAUCAAGUUGAUACCAAAAUUACGAUAGUUCAACAGUUUCUUUAGUUUUUGUUUUUGUUUUGUUAUUCUUAAAACUGAGGCUCUUAUUGCGUCGUAAUAACUACAACCACCUCUGAUCUAAGACCCCUAAUGUCGACACCGCUUAUGCUGAACUGGCUUCCUUUCCCAUCAUAAAAUAUCCACAAAUGUAAAUCAAAGAUGUAAAAUGGACAAAGGACAAGAAAAACAAUUCAUAUUCAAAAAAUCGUAUUUAUACUGAAAGAAAAACUUUGUAAACUGAGCGAUUAGCCCAGUGCCCUCGGGCCAUCAGACGAAAGUCUGAUGCUGAAUGUUUAAAGCAUUAACCUCAGGG